GGUAUAUUAGGAAAAUAUACUCCUUGAUUGAGAUUAAUAUGAUGUCUAGUUCCUCUUAUAGAUGGUCAUCCACUUGGCACCUCUUUUAGAAACAAUUCUUUAAAUUCCUACAAAAGAGAAUCAACAUAACUUGGAAAAAAAAUCAUCAGAAAAUGUGGUUAGUAAAGGUACCUCCUAGCAAAAGAGUAAGUAUAGGGGAUCGUGUGACACAAUUUCUUUCUUCACAUCUCCUUUUUUGUAAUUAAACUUUCUUUCUUUUCUUUUUUAUCAUUCUUUUUCUUUUCAUUCUUUUCUUUUUUCUUUUUUUCCUUUUCAUUCUUUUCUUUUUCUCUUUCUUUUUAAUUCUUUUCUUUUUCUUUUCCUUUUUCUUUUUCUUUUCUUUCUUGUUCAUUUUUUCUCUCAUUUUCUUUUAAUCUUAUCUCACCUCACUUGGCUUUAAUGUUACAAGAUUGAUCUUUUGACCAUGAUACAUAAAAGAAUACUUAUUGGAAUACC
rnacentral:lncRNA from 1 species